rnacentral:lncRNA from 1 species
CUUUCUUCUGUAUCCCCAAGAUCAAUAUUACUGAUAGCAGCUACUUUUGCUAAGUAACUAGGGUCAACAGAAUUAAAAACAACAAAAGCUGAAGUGUUACCUGAGAUCUCAUUUUUUCUUUUUCUUUAUGGCUUCCGCUUUGUUCUGUACUGAUUUGUUGUUGUUAUAGUUGCACAGACUUCGCCUUUGUGCUAUGACAAGGUAUUUCUUUGCUUUUAUCUUAACAGUAACGAAACCCUCCCUCUCACUGCUUCCAUAAGUACCUUCGACCACCUCCUCUAUAAAUGAUUCUAGCUUCUUGUUUCUCUCACCAUCCCUACCCCCCUCCCAACACACACACACACACACA